AUACGUAGGGGGCGAGCGUUGUCCGGAAUGAUUGGGCGUAAAGGGCGCGUAGGCGGCCUGUUAAGUCUGGAGUGAAAGUCCUGUUUUCAAGAUGGGAAUUGCUUUGGAUACUGAUGGGCUUGAGUGCAGGAGAGGUUAUCGGAAUUCCCGGUGUAGCGGUGAAAUGCGUAGAGAUCGGGAGGAACACCAGUGGCGAAGGCGACUUACUGGGCCGUAACUGACGCUGAGGCGCGAAAGCGUGGGGAGCGAACAGGAUUAGAUACCCUGGUAGUCCACGCGGUAAACGAUGAAUGCUAGGUGUUGCGGGUAUCGACCCCUGCAGUGCCGGAGUCAACACAAUAAGCAUUCCGCCUGGGGAGUACGGCCGCAAGGUUGAAACUCAAAGGAAUUGGCGGGG
rnacentral:rRNA from 1 species